UACGGAGGGGGCUAGCGUUGUUCGGAAUUACUGGGCGUAAAGCGCGCGUAGGCGGCUUUGUAAGUUAGAGGUGAAAGCCCGGAGCUCAACUCCGGAAUUGCCUUUAAGACUGCAUCGCUAGAAUCAUGGAGAGGUGAGUGGAAUUCCGAGUGUAGAGGUGAAAAUUCGUAGAUAUUCGGAAGAACACCAGUGGCGAAGGCGACUCACUGGACAUGUAUUGACGCUGAGGUGCGAAAGCGUGGGGAGCAAACAGG
rnacentral:rRNA from 1 species